rnacentral:rRNA from 1 species
GAUGAACGCUAGCUACAGGCUUAACACAUGCAAGUCGCGGGGCAGCAUGAAUUUAGCUUGCUAAAUUUGAUGGCGACCGGCGCACGGGUGAGUAACGCGUAUCCAACCUUCCCCUGUCCACGGGAUAGCCCGUCGAAAGGCGGAUUAAUACCGUAUGAGGUCACACGAUGGCAUCAGACUGUGACGAAAGGUUUGGCGGACAGGGAUGGGGAUGCGUCCGAUUAGGUAGUCGGCGGGGUAACGGCCCACCGAGCCGACGAUCGGUAGGGGUUCUGAGAGGAAGGUCCCCCACAUUGGAACUGAGACACGGUCCAAACUCCUACGGGAGGCAGCAGUGAGGAAUAUUGGUCAAUGGACGGGAGUCUGAACCAGCCAAGUAGCGUGCAGGAUGACGGCCCUAUGGGUUGUAAACUGCUUUUGUGCGGGGAUAAAGUGUGGGACGCGUCCCAUAUUGCAGGUACCGCAUGAAUAAGGACCGGCUAAUUCCGUG